CCCUUAGAUGUUCUGGGCUGCACGCGCGCUACACUGACGAAUGCAACGAGCUUAUAACCUUGGCCGAAAGGUCUGGGUAAUCUCCAAAUUUCGUCGUGAUGGGGAUAGAUUAUUGCAAUUAUUAAUCUUCAACGAGGAAUGCCUAGUAAGCGCAAGUCAUCAGCUUGCGUUGAUUACGUCCCUGCCCUUUGUACACACCGCCCGUCGCCCCUACCGAUUGAAUGGUCCGGUGAAGCGUUCGGACCGUGGCCUUUGGACGGUUCGCCGUCUGUUGGCUGCGGGAAGUUCGUUAAACCUUAUCAUUUAGAGGAAGGAGAAGUCGUAACA
rnacentral:rRNA from 1 species